AUGCCAUGGUGGGGGCAAGCUACAAUGUAUUCUUGGAAUCUCUCCCAAGCCUCCGAAAUGGCUUCAUUCGGCAGCAGCUGAAAUCCAGAGAUUUUGCUCUGGAGGGC